rnacentral:rRNA from 1 species
UACGGAGGGUGCGAGCGUUGUUCGGAAUUAUUGGGCGUAAAGCGCACGUAGGCGGCUUUGUAAGUCUCACUGUGAAAGCCCGGGGCUCAACCCCGGGACUGCAGGGGAUAUGCGAGGCUUGAGUCAAGUAGAGGUUGGUAGAAUUCCGGGUGUAGCGGUGGAAUGCGUAGAGAUCCGGAGGAAUACCAGAGGCGAAGGCGGCCAACUGGACUUGUACUGACGCUGAGGUGCGAAAAGCGUGGGGGAGCGAACAGG